AACGAACGCUGGCGGCAGGCCUAACACAUGCAAGUCGAACGGCACCUUCGGGUGUAGUGGCGGACGGGUUAGUAACGCGUGGGAACGUACCCUUCUCUGCGGAAUAGCCACUGGAAACGGUGAGUAAUACCGCAUACGCCCUUCGGGGGAAAGAUUUAUCGGGGAAGGAUCGGCCCGCGUCUGAUUAGAUAGUUGGUGGGGUAAUGGCCUACCAAGUCUACGAUCAGUAGCUGGUUUUAGAGGAUGAUCAGCAACACUGGGACUGAGACACGGCCCAGACUCCUACGGGAGGCAGCAGUGGGGAAUCUUAGACAAUGGGCGCAAGCCUGAUCUAGCCAUGCCGCGUGUGUGAUGAAGGCCUUAGGGUCGUAAAGCACUUUCGCCAGG
rnacentral:rRNA from 1 species